rnacentral:lncRNA from 1 species
CCCAUUCAGACUCUUGUCUGGCUUGUAAAAGAUUUCAAACACAGAGUAACAAAAUGUUACUCCUGAAAAAGGGAGCAAAAUCAGAAUAAACAGAAUAAAAAGACUUGGAAAAUGUAUAGAUGCCUUCAAUCACGGUUGAUCUUGUUUUUAAGAUUCUUUGACUUGCGCAAUAUUUAAAAGCCACAGAGGAAAGCAAAAAUUUGGCCCCUUUCCAAUACUACAGGAGACUUAGGUUCUAAUAGAACAAAUGAUGUAUAAGAAGCAGCUUGAAACCUCAGAAUGUAACCACAAAACCACAACAGCUUAGAAGAUAAUGGACUCUGUUGAAACAGCAGAGUUCCCUGAUCCACCUCACCUGACGUGCGACAGGGGUGUGGCUUGUCUCUUCGGUCACUGCCACUGCUCAAACCCCUGAGGGAAGGGGGCGCACACAGAUGGAUGAAUGCAGGAGCCCAAGUGGAAGAGACUUUGAAGAUGUGCUUAAAGAUCCUUAGAUGAGGAGACUCUCCCAGAUUAUCUGAUGGACCUCACGUAAUCACAGUUGUCCUUCAAGAGAAAUGACGGAGUCACCAAGUGAGAGGAGAUGGCAGUGUGGCGACAGAAGCAGUGACUGGACUGACAUGCUUUGAAG